rnacentral:rRNA from 1 species
AUGGCCGGCGGCGGAGGAGGGCGGGCGCGCGGCGCGGAGGGGAAACGGGCGGCGCCGCAGGGGCAGAGGGCGCCCGCCGCGACCGCGGGGUACUUCACGGCGGAGCUGGCCGCGCUGUUCCUCUGCCUGACCGCGCUGCUGGUGUUCCUCCCUCUGGUCCUGCCGCCGCUCCCGCCGCCGCCGUCGCUGCUGCUGCUGGUCCCCGUGGGGCUUAUGGCCGUCCUGGUCGCGCUGGCGUUCGUGCCGUCCGACAGCCGGAGCAUGGCCUCGUCGUGCCAUUGA